AUUCUCAUCCCUACUCCCUAGCUCGCUCUCUCGACUGCCGACAACCUACCUGCACGCCUGCACACAUCGCCGCCCGCCCUGAGGUAUUGAGCACAGAAUGCCUAACCACCUGAUUUGGCCGCCCCGACCCGAUGGACUCGGAUGAGGAGGCCGAUAAGGAAGAGGCAGCAGCAACUUCGGCGCAGACGCACGAGAUUGCGCAUGACAUUCUACUGGCUGAUGCAUUCAAUCUGGAUGAUGAAAUCCGGUCCUCGUAUUUGGAGACAGACUGAAGAGUAUGCUAUCCUUGAUGGUGUUCCUUCUACAACUUCAACUUAAUGAUUUUAAAAAAAUUCUUAAUAUGUUCGCCCCGGCAAACCUCAAUUUAUGGGUCCGCCACUGGUGACGGCAUGGUGAUGUUCGCCUUCGUGGUUGGCGACGUGGUGAUGCGUAUGACCGGUGUGGUCAUGGUGGUGUUCGUCUGCGUGGUCGGCGACGUGGUGAUGCUCGUGACCGGCGUGACAGCGGUGUCAUGGUGGUCUUCGUCUUUGUGGUCGGCGACGUGGUGAUGCUUAUGAACGGCGGUGUCAUGGUGGUAUUCAUCUUCGUGGUCGGCGACGUGUCCAUGCUUGUGAACGGCGUGACCGGCGGUGGCAUGGUGGUCUUCGUCUUCGUGGUCGGCGACGUGAUGAUGCUUAUGACCGGUGGUGCCAUGGUGGUUACUUGCUUCGUGGUCGGCAACGUGCUCAUGUUUGUGAUGGGUGAGGUAAGGUCACCAUGUUUUCAUGCAGGUGAGGCUAGGAGAAACAUGUGAGGAACCAAACAAUGGGGACUCGGGCCGGGGCAGAAAUGAGCGGCUCAGGUGACCAAACAACAUAGCUUUUGUGGCCUAUGGCCCGUCUCUGACGCGCAGGUGGUUUCUUCAACUGGCGUAGUGGUGCAAAAUAUUAGCUUAGGUAACCAAACGCGCUCAAAGUGUUUUAGUUAAGUCUUGUAGAGAGCAAGGUGCAGUUUUUGUGUAAUAGGACGCAAAACAAUAUGCGUAUGUAUCCAUGCACUUAAUCUUCUAAGUGAACUAUAUGAUGCACAGUGAGGACGUCAAGGUAGCA